UCUCCUGGAAACGGGUGGUAAUGCCGGAUGUUCCAGUUGAUCGCAUGGUCUUCUGGGAAAGCUUUCGCGGUAUGGGAUGGGGUCGCGUCCUAUCAGCUUGACGGCGGGGUAACGGCCCACCGUGGCUUCGACGGGUAGCCGGCCUGAGAGGGCGACCGGCCACAUUGGGACUGAGAUACGGCCCAGACUCCUACGGGAGGCAGCAGUGGGGAAUAUUGCACAAUGGGCGCAAGCCUGAUGCAGCGACGCCGCGUGAGGGAUGGAGGCCUUCGGGUUGUAAACCUCUUUUAUCGGGGAGCAAGCGUGAGUGAGUUUACCCGUUGAAUAAGCACCGGCUAACUACGUGCCAGCAGCCGCGGUAAUACGUAGGGUGCAAGCGUUAUCCGGAAUUAUUGGGCGUAAAGGGCUCGUAGGCGGUUCGUCGCGUCCGGUGUGAAAGUCCAUCGCUUAACGGUGGAUCCGCGCCGGGUACGGGCGGGCUUGAGUGCGGUAGGGGAGACUGGAAUUCCCGGUGUAACGGUGGAAUGUGUAGAUAUCGG
rnacentral:rRNA from 1 species